GACGUAGGGCGCGAGCGUUGUCCGGAUUUAUUGGGCGUAAAGAGCUCGUAGGCGGCUUGUCGCGUCGUUCGUGAAAACCCAUGGCUCAACUGUGGGCUUGCGGUCGAUACGGGCAGGCUAGAGUUCGGUAGGGGAGACUGGAAUUCCUGGUGUAGCGGUGAAAUGCGCAGAUAUCAGGAAGAACACCCGUGGCUAAGGCGGCUCUCUAGUACGGUACUGACGCUGAGACGCGAAAGCGUGGGGAGCGAACAGG
rnacentral:rRNA from 1 species